UAGGGAAUCUUCCACAAUGGGCGCAGCCUGAUGGAGCAACACCGCGUGAGUGAAGAAGGGUUUCGGCUCGUAAAGCUCUGUUGUUAAAGAAGAACACGUAUGGGAGUAACUGUUCAUACGUUGACGGUAUUUAACCAGAAAGUCACGGCUAACUACGUGCCAC
rnacentral:rRNA from 1 species